GACGAACGCUGGCGGCGUGCCUAAUACAUGCAAGUCGAACGAACUCUGGUAUUGAUUGGUGCUUGCAUCAUGAUUUACAUUUGAGUGAGUGGCGAACUGGUGAGUAACACGUGGGAAACCUGCCCAGAAGCGGGGGAUAACACCUGGAAACAGAUGCUAAUACCGCAUAACAACUUGGACCGCAUGGUCCGAGUUUGAAAGAUGGCUUCGGCUAUCACUUUUGGAUGGUCCCGCGGCGUAUUAGCUAGAUGGUGGGGUAACGGCUCACCAUGGCAAUGAUACGUAGCCGACCUGAGAGGGUAAUCGGCCACAUUGGGACUGAGACACGGCCCAAACUCCUACGGGAGGCAGCAGUAGGGAAUCUUCCACAAUGGACGAAAGUCUGAUGGAGCAACGCCGCGUGAGUGAAGAAGGGUUUCGGCUCGUAAAACUCUGUUGUUAAAGAAGAACAUAUCUGAGAGUAACUGUUCAGGUAUUGACGGUAUUUAACCAGAAAGCCACGGCUAACUACGAGCCAGCAGCCGCGGUAAUACGUAGGUGGCAAGCGUUGUCCGGAUUUAUUGGGCGUAAAGCGAGCGCAGGCGGUUUUUUAAGUCUGAUGUGAAAGCCUUCGGCUCAACCGAAGAAGUGCAUCGGAAACUGGGAAACUUGAGUGCAGAAGAGGACAGUGGAACUCCAUGUGUAGCGGUGAAAUGCGUAGAUAUAUGGAAGAACACCAGUGGCGAAGGCGGCUGUCUGGUCUGUAACUGACGCUGAGGCUCGAAAGUAUGGGUAGCAAACAGGAUUAGAUACCCUGGUAGUCCAUACCGUAAACGAUGAAUGCUAAGUGUUGGAGGGUUUCCGCCCUUCAGUGCUGCAGCUAACGCAUUAAGCAUUCCGCCUGGGGAGUACGGCCGCAAGGCUGAAACUCAAAGGAAUUGACGGGGGCCCGCACAAGCGGUGGAGCAUGUGGUUUAAUUCGAAGCUACGCGAAGAACCUUACCAGGUCUUGACAUACUAUGCAAAUCUAAGAGAUUAGACGUUCCCUUCGGGGACAUGGAUACAGGUGGUGCAUGGUUGUCGUCAGCUCGUGUCGUGAGAUGUUGGGUUAAGUCCCGCAACGAGCGCAACCCUUAUUAUCAGUUGCCAGCAUUAAGUUGGGCACUCUGGUGAGACUGCCGGUGACAAACCGGAGGAAGGUGGGGAUGACGUCAAAUCAUCAUGCCCCUUAUGACCUGGGCUACACACGUGCUACAAUGGAUGGUACAACGAGUUACGAACUCGCGAGAGUAAGCUAAUCUCUUAAAGCCAUUCUCAGUUCGGAUUGUAGGCUGCAACUCGCCUACAUGAAGUCGGAAUCGCUGGUAAUCGCGGAUCAGCAUGCCGCGGUGAAUACGUUCCCGGGCCUUGUACACACCGCCCGUCACACCAUGAGAGUUUGUAACACCCAAAGUCGGUGGGGUAACCUUUUAGGAACCAGCCGCCUAAGGUGGGACAGAUGAUUAGGGUG
rnacentral:rRNA from 2 species